UUAAGUGACUAAGCGUACACGGUGGAUGCCUUGGCAGUCAGAGGCGAUGAAAGACGUAGUAACUUGCGAUAAGCCCAGAUUAGGUAGUAACAACCAUUUGAGUCUGGGAUUUCUGAAUGGGGAAACCCACGUGCAUAAGCACGUAUCCUUACCUGAAUACAUAGGGUAAGGAGGCGAACCGGGGGAACUGAAACAUCUAAGUACCCCGAGGAAAAGAAAUCAACCGAGAUUCCGAAAGUAGCGGCGAGCGAAAUUGGACUAGCCCUUAAGCUUUACACGCGUUAGACGAACGGUCUGGAAAGUCCGACGAUACAGGGUGAUAGUCCCGUAGUUGACGACGUGUGUUCAGUGAAAUCGAGUAGGGCGGGACACGUGAUAUCCUGUCUGAAUAUGGGGGGACCAUCCUCCAAGGCUAAAUACUACUGACUGACCGAUAGUGAACCAGUACCGUGAGGGAAAGGCGAAAAGAACCCCUGUGAGGGGAGUGAAAUAGAACCUGAAACCGUGUACGUACAAGCAGUAGGAGCAGGCUUUGUCCUGUGACUGCGUACCUUUUGUAUAAUGGGUCAGCGACUUAUAUUCAGUGGCAAGGUUAACCAUCUAGGGGAGCCGUAGGGAAACCGAGUCUUAACUGGGCGUUCAGUCUCUGGAUAUAGACCCGAAACCAGGUGAUCUAGCCAUGGGCAGGUUGAAGGUUGAGUAACAUCAACUGGAGGACCGAACCGACUAAUGUUGAAAAAUUAGCGGAUGACUUGUGGCUAGGGGUGAAAGGCCAAUCAAACCUGGAGAUAGCUGGUUCUCCCCGAAAGCUAUUUAGGUAGCGCCUCGGACGAAUACUACUGGGGGUAGAGCACUGUUAAGGCUAGGGGGUCAUCCCGACUUACCAACCCUUUGCAAACUCCGAAUACCAGUAAGUACUAUCCGGGAGACACACGGCGGGUGCUAACGUCCGUCGUGGAGAGGGAAACAACCCAGACCGCCAGCUAAGGUCCCAAAUUACUACUAAGUGGGAAACGAUGUGGGAAGGCUCAGACAGCCAGGAUGUUGGCUUAGAAGCAGCCAUCAUUUAAAGAAAGCGUAAUAGCUCACUGGUCGAGUCGGCCUGCGCGGAAGAUGUAACGGGGCUAAGUAGUAAACCGAAGCUGCGGCAAUAUACUUUUGUAUAUUGGGUAGGGGAGCGUUCUGUAAGCGGUUGAAGGUGUGUGGUAACGCAUGCUGGACGUAUCAGAAGUGCGAAUGCUGACAUGAGUAACGAUAAAGGGGGUGAAAAACCUCCUCGCCGGAAGACCAAGGGUUCCUGUCCAACGUUAAUCGGGGCAGGGUAAGUCGACCCCUAAGGCGAGGCCGAAAGGCGUAGUCGAUGGGAAACGGGUUAAUAUUCCCGUACUUCUUACAAUUGCGAUGGGGGGACGGAGAAGGCUAGGUGGGCCUGGCGACGGUUGUCCAGGUUCAAGUGCGUAGGCUUGAGAGUUAGGUAAAUCCGGCUCUUUUUAAGGCUGAGACACGACGUCGAGCAUCUACGGAUGUGAAGUCAUUGAUGCCAUGCUUCCAGGAAAAGCCUCUAAGCUUCAGAUUGUAAGGAAUCGUACCCCAAACCGACACAGGUGGUCGGGUAGAGAAUACCAAGGCGCUUGAGAGAACUCGGGUGAAGGAACUAGGCAAAAUGGUACCGUAACUUCGGGAGAAGGUACGCUCUUGAUGGUGAAGUCCCUCGCGGAUGGAGCUGACGAGAGUCGCAGAUACCAGGUGGCUGCAACUGUUUAUUAAAAACACAGCACUGUGCAAAAUCGUAAGAUGACGUAUACGGUGUGACGCCUGCCCGGUGCCGGAAGGUUAAUUGAUGGGGUUAGACUUCGGUCGAAGCUCUUGAUCGAAGCCCCGGUAAACGGCGGCCGUAACUAUAACGGUCCUAAGGUAGCGAAAUUCCUUGUCGGGUAAGUUCCGACCUGCACGAAUGGCGUAAUGAUGGCCACGCUGUCUCCACCCGAGACUCAGUGAAAUUGAAAUCGCUGUGAAGAUGCAGUGUACCCGCGGCUAGACGGAAAGACCCCGUGAACCUUUACUACAGCUUGGCACUGAACAUUGACCCUACAUGUGUAGGAUAGGUGGGAGGCUUUGAAGCACGUACGCCAGUAUGUGUGGAGCCGUCCUUGAAAUACCACCCUUGUAGUGUUGAUGUUCUAACGUCGACCCCUUAUCGGGGUUGCGGACAGUGCCUGGUGGGUAGUUUGACUGGGGCGGUCUCCUCCCAAAGAGUAACGGAGGAGCACGAAGGUGGGCUAAUCACGGUUGGACAUCGUGAGGUUAGUGCAAUGGCAUAAGCCCGCUUGACUGCGAGAAUGACAAUUCGAGCAGGUGCGAAAGCAGGUCAUAGUGAUCCGGUGGUUCUGAAUGGAAGGGCCAUCGCUCAACGGAUAAAAGGUACUCCGGGGAUAACAGGCUGAUACCGCCCAAGAGUUCAUAUCGACGGCGGUGUUUGGCACCUCGAUGUCGGCUCAUCACAUCCUGGGGCUGAAGUCGGUCCCAAGGGUAUGGCUGUUCGCCAUUUAAAGUGGUACGCGAGCUGGGUUUAGAACGUCGUGAGACAGUUCGGUCCCUAUCUGCCGUGGGCGUUGGAAGAUUGAAGGGGGCUGCUCCUAGUACGAGAGGACCGGAGUGGACGAACCUCUGGUGUUCGGGUUGUGUCGCCAGACGCAUUGCCCGGUAGCUAAGUUCGGAAUCGAUAACCGCUGAAAGCAUCUAAGCGGGAAGCGAGCCCUGAGAUGAGUCUUCCCUGAUACUUUAAGUAUCCUAAAGGGUUGUCGGAGACUACGACGUUGAUAGGUCAGGUGUGUAAGUGCUGUGAGGCAUUGAGCUAACUGAUACUAAUUGCCCGUGAGGCUUAACCAU
rnacentral:rRNA from 1 species